rnacentral:rRNA from 1 species
UACAGAGGUCCCAAGCGUUGUUCGGAUUUACUGGGCGUAAAGGGUGCGCAGGUGGCUGGAUAAGUUUGAUGUGAAAUCUUCGGGCUUAACCCGGAAAGGCAUUGAAUACUAUUCGGCUGGAGGUUUGGAGGGGGACUGGAAUUCUCGGUGUAGCAGUGAAAUGCGUAGAUAUCGAGAGGAACACCAGUGGCGAAGGCGGCUUCCUGGCCCGCAUCUGACGCUGAGGCACGAAAGUGUGGGAGCAAACAGG